rnacentral:rRNA from 1 species
UGAUCCUGCCAGUAGUCAUAUGCUUGUCUCAAAGGCUAAGCCAUGCAUGUGUAAGUAUAAGUGAUUUCGUAUCAUGAAACUGCGAAUGGCUCAUUAAAACAGUUAUAAUCUACCUGGAUACAGUUUGUGGAUAACCGUAGUAAUUCUAGGGCUAAUACAUAGACACAACAAUUUGUUAUGCUCUUACUGUGAUCUGAAUUGUUAUGGCAACGCCAUUAUUUGUUGAAAACGGUAAGUAUGCAAAUCUUUCUUCAUUUGGGUAGAAAGAUGAUCCAGUCGAGUUUCUGACCUAUCAGCUUGUCGGUAGGGUAUUGGCCUACCGAGGCAGUGACGGGUAACGGAGAAUUAGGGUUCGAUUCCGGAGAGGGAGCCUGAGAGACGGCUACCACAUCUAAGGAAGGCAGCAGGCGCGCAAAUUACCCAAUCCUGACUCAGGGAGGUAGUGACAAGAAAUAACAACAACGGGCUUUGUCUCGUUGAUUGGAAUGAGCACAAUGUAAAAGUCUUAGCGAGGACCCACUGGAGGGCAAGUC